CAUCAAGUGAGAAUGUAGGCAUGAGUAGCGAGAGAGGAGUGAGAAACUCCUCCGCCGUAAGCCCAAGGGUUCCUGGGGAAGGCUAAUCCUCCCAGGGUAAGUCGGGAGCUAAGACGAGGCCGCGAGGCGUAGUCGAUGCACAACUGGUUGAUAUUCCAGUACCGCCAUAUACGCGCCAAGCUCAAUAUCGACAAAGUGGGGGCUGCCUUCGGGCGAACCUGCCUAGUUGGUUGCGGGUAACUGAAGGGGGACGCAGAAGGAUAGGUGAACCGGGGCGAUGGUAGUCCCCGGGUAAGUGCGUAGGAGGAUCCCGAUGAGAGUUGGGGUCACAUACUCUGAGACACGAUGCCGAGCACAUUUGUGCGAAGUCACUAAUUCCAUACUGCCAAGAAAAGCCCAGCAGUGAGUAGAUAUGGCGCCCGUACCCCAAACCGACGCAGGUGGGCGGGUAGAGAAUACCAAGGCGAUCGGGAGAACUAUGGUUAAGGAACUCGGCAAAAUGCCUCCGUAACUUCGGAAGAAGGAGGACCCACGUAGGGUGAAGCGACUUCGCGUCGCCAGCCUGAAUGGGUGGCACAGAGCAGGGGGUAGCGACUGUUUAACAAAAACACAGCAGCGUGCGAAGCCGCAAGGCGCUGUAUACGCUGUGACGCCUGCCCAAUGCUGGAAGGUCACGAGGAACGGUUAGCCGUAAGGCGAAGCUGUGAAUCUAAGCCCCAGUGAAUGGCGGCCGUAACUAUAACGGUCCUAAGGUAGCGAAAUUCCUUGUCGGGUAAGUUCCGACCUGCACGAAUGGCGUAACGACUUCCCCGCUGUCUCAACCAUAGACCCGGCGAAAUUGAAGUACGAGUAAAGAUGCUCGUUUGCUGCGGAAGGACGGAAAGACCCCGUGGACCUUUACUAUAACUUGAUGUUGAGCUUUGAAAUGGGCUGUGUAGGAUAGGUGGGAGACUGUGAAGCAGGUGCGCUAGCACUUGUGGAGUCAUUGGUGAAAUACCACCCUGCGUAUUUUGGAGCUCUAACUUUGGUCCGUAAUCCGGAUCAGGGACAGCGUCAGGCGGGUAGUUUGACUGGGGCGGUCGCCUCCUAAAUUGUAACGGAGGCGCUCAAAGGUUCCCUCAGACUGGUUGGUAAUCAGUCGUCGAGUGUAAUGACACAAGGGAGCUUGACUGCGAGACUGACAGGUCAAGCAGGUGCGAAAGCAGGACAUAGUGACCCGGCCAUUGCUUGUGGAAGCGUGGUCGCUCAACGGAUAAAAGGUACCCCGGGGAUAACAGGCUAAUCUUUCCCAAGAGUCCAUAUCGACGGAAAGGUUUGGCACCUCGAUGUCGGCUCAUCGCAUCCUGGGGCUGAAGCAGGUCCCAAGGGUUGGGCUGUUCGCCCAUUAAAGCGGUACGCGAGCUGGGUUCAGAACGUCGUGAGACAGUUCGGUCCCUAUCCUCCGCAGCCG
rnacentral:rRNA from 1 species